UCCCUACCAUACAUUCCAACACUCACUCCUGCCCUCACCAGUGUCCUGAAAAAAGAUUUCCCAAACGUUAAAAUAGCCCAAAAAUCCAUCCAAACCACCUCGCAAAUCCUAAAAAACGUCAAAGAUCCCGUGAAUCCACUCCAACAGUACAAUGUCAUCUACAGUAUACCGUGUGGAAACUGUGACAUGUCGUACAUCGGUUUGACAACAAACCAGCUCAAAACCAGACUUUCUGGACAUCGAGCAAAUAUCAACAAAUACCAAAAACUUGUUGAAGGGGGGAUCACCAACACUGAUGAGCAGUUGGCCAGACUGGGAGAAAUUACUGCUUUACUUGAACAUACAAUCAACUACAAACAUGAUUUUGAUCUCACCCAGGUCAAGAUCAUUGAUAAAACAUUUAAACCCUCUGCUUUAUCAGUGUUGGAAAUGUGUCACAUCGCCAAUACGGACAAGACGGUCAACCGCCGUACUGACGUAUAUGGCCUAAGUAACACAUACUCGGGGAUUCUACACACUAUCAAACCAUCUGUAACACGAAGAAACAAUCCUCUCUCGGAUAUCUCCAACCACACACAAACUACCAACACACAAUAACCCACCGUUGGGAUCAUCCAAGUGAUACCCACCGCCACACCAUAUUGUAUGAAAGCUAAACCCUUGCAAAGUUGGGAUAGUGAACAGUGUCGUUACCGAGAUUUUGAAUUUGUUCUCGGUUAUGCAGGAAAACCACCAUCUAUCUAUUACAAACCGGACACCCCACCGUUGGAGAAUAACGAACAGUACGAUAGCGACUAGACAAAAUUUCCCCUGAAGAAGACCGACAAAACCGGUCGAAACGUCGGGCAGUUUUAAUAUAAACAUCGCUUGAUUAUUUUUAACCGACUGAGAAAGCCGACCAA